AAAACUUUCAACAACGGAUCUCUUGGUUCUGGCAUCGAUGAAGAACGCAGCGAAAUGCGAUAAGUAAUGUGAAUCGCAGAACUCAGUGAAUCAUCGAAUCUUUGAACGCACAUUGCGCCCCUUGGUAUUCCGAGGGGCAUACCUGUUCGAGCGUCAUUACACCCCUCACGCCCCCCCCCCUUCGGGGCGUGGUCUUG
rnacentral:rRNA from 1 species